rnacentral:rRNA from 1 species
UACGAAGGGGGCUAGCGUUGUUCGGAUUUACUGGGCGUAAAGCGCACGUAGGCGGAUCGUUAAGUUAGGGGUGAAAUCCCAGGGCUCAACCCUGGAACUGCCUUUAAUACUGGCGAUCUAGAGUCCGGAAGAGGUGAGUGGAACUCCUAGUGUAGAGGUGGAAUUCGUAGAUAUUAGGAAGAACACCAGUGGCGAAGGCGGCUCACUGGUCCGGUACUGACGCUGAGGUGCGAAAGCCAGGGGAGCAAACGGG